CGCGGCCUAUCAGCUUGUUGGCGAGGUAACGGCUCACCAAGGCAACGACGGGUAGCUGGUCUGAGAGGAUGGCCAGCCACAUUGGGACUGAGAUACGGCCCAGACUCCUACGGGAGGCAGCAGUGGGGAAUCUUGCGCAAUGGCCUAACGGCUGACGCAGCGACGCCGCGUGUAGGAUGAAGCUCUUCGGAGUGUAAACUACUGUUGCCCGGGACGAAUAGCUCGAUUAAUCGAGCCUGACAGUACCGGGUGAGGAAGCACCGGCUAACUCCGUGCCAGCAGCCGCGGUAAUACGGGGGGUGCGAGCGUUGUCCGGAAUCACUGGGCGUAAAGGGCGCGUAGGUGGUUUGAUAAGGGUGUGGUGAAAGUCCGGGGCUCAACCCCGGAUCUGCCGUGCCGACUGUCAAACUCGAGGACUGUAGAGGCAGACGGAAUUCCGGGUGUAGCGGUGGAAUGCGUAGAGAUCCGGAGGAAGACCGGUGGCGAAGGCGGUCUGCUGGGCAGUUUCUGACACUGAGGCGCGACAGCGUGGGGAGCAAACAGGAUUAGAUACCCUGGUAGUCCACGCCGUAAACGACGGGUACUAGGUGCCUGGGGGAGCGACCCUCUGGGUGCCGGCGCUAACGCAGGAAGUACCCCGCC
rnacentral:rRNA from 1 species